rnacentral:rRNA from 1 species
UACGUAGGUGACAAGCGUUGUCCGGAUUUACUGGGCGUAAAGAGCGCGCAGGCGGUCGUUCAAGUCGAGUGUGAAAGCCCCCGGCUCAACUGGGGAGGGUCAUUCAAUACUGAUCGACUCGAAGGCAGGAGAGGGAAGUGGAAUUCCCGGUGUAGUGGUGAAAUGCGUAGAUAUCGGGAGGAACACCAGUGGCGAAGGCGACUUCCUGGCCUGUUCUUGACGCUGAGGCGCGAAAGCUAGGGGAGCAAACGGG